UUUACCAGUACAAUAUGACGUAGUAUACCAGUACAAUAUGGCUCUAAUUUCUGACGUCAUGAGCACUGACCAAUAUACUGGUGAAUAUUACGGAACACACCCGAAAUAAAUCCCGCCAAAAUGC